GUGAGAAGAAGGCUGGGAACUCUCUUGAUUCUCCAAAGGCAGCCACGCACACACCCUGAGUCUCCUGCAGCAGUGAAGUGUUUGAUGGAUCUAGCUUUCCUGAUCUGUCAGUUUCUGGGAGCAUCAUCCCCGAAAAGCAAAUCUAAUGCCAAAGAAGAAGGACAUGGAUAGCACUACCUUCGACCUCAGUUGGAGCAGCUGCUGGAACAGCCCCUUGUACAUGGAUGGGUUUAUGUUAGGGAGCAGCCAAGUGUUUGUACAGUCCCAGGUCUGCAGAACUUCUCUUCAACUAAACACAUCCAAGGAAACUUCAAACAAAGCUUGCUGAGUUAAAAAGACAAUCUGCCUCUGACUUUUACUACCCAGUCUGGAGAGAAUUUAAUUGCAGGAAUGAUGGAUUGCAUCCUCAGAUACUAUAAUGGAUGCUGAAGAUUUUGUGAACAAUGUAUUUUUUCUGGGUGGAUGGGUAGCUAGAUGUAUUGGAAAGAAAAUGUAUAGGUAAAAUAACAUUUUUUAAGAAUACACACAAAUUAUAAUGAUGUAAUUUUAUUUUCUAUUAAAUCUACUUGAAAAGA